GGAAAUCUCCUGCUCCGUUCUGGCCCAGCCGUGUCUCCGGAGGACACAGCAGCCGCUGGAUGAGGUCGCGAGCCUCCUCAGGGACCCCUGCAUCAGCCAGCGGUAGAGACAGGUCUCAGCCGGCCUCCGCACUCUGAAUCUCUGGUCCCGCACCUAACCCUACCCCUCAUUGGUGACCCGCAGCGGACGGGUGCACCGCUCACCGUUCCAUCCGCCCUCAACUUCAGGCAGGAGCCGAAGUCAGCCAAGCGGAUGUGGCCACAGCGGUCCAGCAGGAUGUUGUCCGGUUUGAUGUCCCUGAGCAGAGGGAUGAAGGGAGGGAAGGGGGUAUGUCGGCCUCCCUCCCACCAUCUCAAAGGCUCCGCCCCUCUAGGCGGCACCUCCUCGGGCCCCACCCUUAGGGACCAGCCUCUCCAAUUCCCAAGCCUCCAGGCCCUGCCCUCAGGCCUCACCUCCUUGGGUCCCGUCCCUUAGGGGAUUCUACAGUUCUGCACCCCACUCCUCAGCCCUGUCUCCAGAAGGACCCGACCAGCGUGGUCCCUCUCCAGGCCUCGCCGCCUCUGAGCUCCAUCCUUCCAGUCACCAGGCCUGGGGCUCACCAGGUAGUUCUCAUCCUGGAAGGCAAAGUGCAGCUGCGUGAUCCAGCGCCGGUCUCCAUUCACCAGCACGUCCCUCUCUUCACGGAAGCACGACACCUGCCAGGCACCC